AACGUAGGUACCGAGCGUUAUCCGGAUUUACUGGGCGUAAAGCGUGUUCAGGCGGCCUGGCAAGUCGGGCGUGAAAUCUCUCGGCUCAACCGGGAGAGGCUGUCCGAUACUGCUGGGCUUGAGGACGGUAGAGGGUGGUGGAAUUCCGCGUGUAGUGGUGAAAUGCGUAGAUAUGCGGAGGAACACCAGUGGCGAAGGCGGCCACCUGGACCGUCCCUGACGCUCAAACACGAAAGCUAGGGUAGCGAACGGG
rnacentral:rRNA from 1 species